AUUGAACGCUGGCGGCAGGCCUAACACAUGCAAGUCGAGCGGAUGAAGAGAGCUUGCUCUCUGAUUCAGCGGCGGACGGGUGAGUAAUGCCUAGGAAUCUGCCUGGUAGUGGGGGACAACGUUUCGAAAGGAACGCUAAUACCGCAUACGUCCUACGGGAGAGAGUGGGGGAUCUUCGGACCUCACGCUAUCAGAUGAGCCUAGGUACGAUUAGCUAGUUGGUGAGGUAAAGGCUCACCAAGGCGACGAUCGUUAACUGGUCUGAGAGGAUGAUCAGUCACACUGGAACUGAGACACGGUCCAGACUCCUACGGGAGGCAGCAGUGGGGAAUAUUGGACAACGGGCGAAAGCCUGAUCCAGCCAUGCCGCGUGUGUGAAGAAGGUCUUCGGAUUGUAAAGCACUUUAAGUUGGGAGGAAGGGCAGUAAGUUAAUACCUUGCUGUUUUGACGUUACCGACAGAAUAAGCACCGGCUAACUUCGUGCCAGCCGCCGCCGUAACAC
rnacentral:rRNA from 1 species